GCACGCAGAGUUGAAACUGGAGUCACCUUCACGCUAGGUGAAGCAGCAGUGACAGGCAGUGGUGAGUUUGACAGAUGGCUGCAAUAUGAUGCCACCUUUUUCACAUUCUUGACUAUUAGAGUGUUGUUAUCUCAAACCAAAAAAUCUUCUAACCAGUAACUGUCCCAAACAUGGUUAUGUGCAUGACCACUCAAACGAAGUAUUGUGAAAUCAGAGAUGAACCCAUUGGAUCUGUGCCUCAGUGAGCAGCAGAAUGCUUUAAGAAGCCACAGAAGCAUACAAGAAUAAAUAGAUACGAAAAGAUUACUCAAAUGCUCUGCAAAAUUCAGGCCAACAAUUUUCUCAUUCAUAUCCAAAAUUGAUUACAGUAUGACUUGAUAGUCGGUACAUCAAGGACUUGCUUAGCUCGAAGCUUCACCCACACAGACACACAAGAGUUCACUAACCAAUGUUACUCUUCGGAAACUGCUACUUUAACUCACUAAGAUGCCAAUGCCUAAGAAUCCAAUUCAGCCAAGAUUAAUUACAGGAGAGUCAGCAUAGUCUCCAAACGCUAGGCAGCUCACAUGAUUACGUGUGUAUCGACAAGUUCAAUUCUACUCCUUUUUCCUGCUACAAGCCGGGUAGCAAAUGGGCGUUUUGGAUUUUGCGGCGAGUGCGUUUUACGCUCUGUCUCGUGCCGGAAUUGCAGUACAUGAGUUCCAAUUUUUUGGCUCAUCUGCUUUACUUUGAUUUAUUGAGAAUGCCCUUUAUUUACUUAAACCCUUAACUUAGGACCAGGUGUGGAUGUAGUGUAACUAUGCCGUACACAUCUUAACAAGGUUUUUGCUGCCUAGCUAGAUGGAGACUCUGCUGACACUCCUGUAAAAUUACUAAUGAUUGAAAGGGAUUCAGAGAACACUAGACAUCUUGGUGGUUAAGCGCAGAACCUAGAGAUGCAAAGAUUAAAUGAAACUCAUGUGUGCAUGGUUUACGAAGGUAAAAGACUAGCAAGGGCGUAAUACCACUGGCCGCACCCAAGGAAUUGGUUGCUUCUUUGGUGCUGCAGCGGUGACACGGUUUUGCUUGGGAACCUUGCAGCUGAGCUCAUCUUCUUGCACGCAGAGUUGAAGCUGCUGGAGUCAUCUUCUUCACAGCAGUGGCAGGGGCAGGCAGUGGUGUAGAGCCGACGAAAGAGCAAGCCUUGGAAGCGACCUGACGAGAG
rnacentral:lncRNA from 1 species